rnacentral:rRNA from 1 species
ACACKACUCUCGGCAACGGAUAUCUCGGCUCUCGCAUCGAUGAAGAACGUAGCRAAAUGCGAUACYUGGUGUGAAUUGCAGAAUCCCGCGAACCAUCGAGUCUUUGAACGCAAGUUGCGCCCGAGCCAUUCGGCYGAGGGCACGCCUGCCUGGGUGUCACGC